GAAACCUUUAAGAACACAGAACUACCUAAUGGGGCAUUGUUUCUGUAACUAGGGUAACAGGGCUCUGUUUCUGUAACUGGGGUGGCUGGGCUAACUGUGAUUGGCUAAGCGUCCCUCUGCCUGACUGCACUCUCCCACUUCUCUAACUUGGCUUGCUUGCAUUGGCUGGACCCCCAAACGUCCCUGUUGCAGUGAAGCACCCUUGCAAUUAUUCAGGGCUGAUCAGGGGAACAACUUUAUGUUCUGGUCAGCCGCCACUGGUGUGCUUCAAUAAAGGCUUGAUUUGAUUAUACGUGAGUGGUCUGGAAGUCAAUUUAUGAAACCCGAGGACGAAGCCUUAACUAUAACAUCUGGGGGUUCAUCCAGGAUCCAUUUCUUCCCUACCCUCAUGUCAAAUUUGCCUCCGAUGACAGGCCUUUGGACCUAGGCCCCGGAGUAGAGGGGAGCUCCUGAGAGACAUUCCUCAGCCUCGCUCCGCGGGUGAUUCCAAUCCGUCCUAGGACGCUGAGAAGCCUUCUGCUGGCCUGUCAGAUCUGAUGAGUCAACUCCUCUGGGGACAAGGUCAGAUUGGACGCAGUUGUGUACACCGAGUACUAAGACAGGACACGACAUUGUCACUGUCUCCCUGGAGGCCUCCCUGUGGGGCCUCAUCUGUUCCUGGGGGCAAGAGGAGACGUGGUCUCUGCCCCACUAGAGGUUUCCCUGUGUGACCUCACCGAUUGUUUUUCCUGUGUCUGACUUGUUUGCUGUUUGUCAUUUCUUCAGUGUCUGUCUAUCUUGCCGGCUGUGUCCUGUGUCUAUCUUGUUUGUCUAGCAGUGUGUUGUGCGGGAGCCUUUCUUAUUUUCAUAACCACUCUUCUUUCAUCAGGACUCCUUCACUCCCCCGACAUUAUGGGACAAGGAAGUUCUACAGAGAACUGGCCUCCCUAGGUCACAUCUGACUCUGGUUUAUGUCUUUGUCAGUGUCUUUGUCUGUUGGUUUGUUUUUGUUUGUCCCCUUUGUGUUCUGUGUUAAUUUCUACCUUAGUUUGUUUCUAAUGUUAAUGGUUACAAAGGUUUUAACUGUGCUCACUAAAGCUUGCAUUAAAAUGUAAAGUGCUGUCAACAGACUAAAAGAAUUGUCAAAAGUAAAAGCUAAAGGUAAAAAAGGCAUUCCAGAGAUUGCCUUCAUUUAGGAACUGGGCCAGAUGGUCAACAGGGUACAUCAUGUCAGUUCCUAUAGAGGACAGAUUAAAACUGAAGUGUUUUAUACAAUUAUUAUUCCUGAAUUGUAAAACAAAGCAUAAUUUUGUCUAGGAAAUUUGGCUUUUGUUUCUCAGUAUUUGCAAGCAUGUAUUAACUCCCAACUAUUAAAAAUGAUCUAUUUUUCAAUGUCAGGCUAAAAUUUGGUGGCCACUAUCCAAGAAACCAGAAAAAACAGUUUGAAAUGGGACCCCCAACCUGGGGGACUCUCCCAAGGAGACCAAUGGAGCUGUGUCUUUGGGAAAUUCUUUCUGGGAAAAAUAAGGCCCCUUCAUUUGUCUAUGUUCCCUUAACACUUUCCAGCUUUGAUGAACAGGACAACCUCAGGAAAAAGGUCAGAAAGGCUUUUAAAAUUCCAUAUUUGUUAAAUUCAUGAUUUUGAUCUGACAUUUUUAGGUUAAUAUGUUUUUCUGAUUACACUCUGCUUUAUUCUAAGGCCAAUUUAACAAGGGUUAACUCUCAAUCUAAUAUGUUUUUUUAAAAAAUAAACUACAAGGCUUUUGUUUGUCUGUUUGCUUUGUGUGGAUACACCGGUGUACUGUCCAUCUAUAUGUAUUGCCAUGUCUAUAUAUAUUUGGUACCAAAAAUUGACAUAUGAGCUCAUAAAAAAAUGGAUUCAAAUACUUUUGUUUAAUGUGAUUUAAAAGGUUCAAUUUAAAUUAGGAAAAUAAAUAAAAGUAAAAAUGUCUUUAAAGUUACUAAUGCACAAUUUUGUUUCUAGGUGGUUAAAUAGUUCUUAAAAUGUUAAUGUCUAUAAAAUGUCUGAUAUCCAUUGUCUCUAAAUUACUAAUGCUAUUCAAUGCACUUGUCUGAUACUUUGUUUUUAAAAAAGAUAUGUAAAUUACAUCUGAACAUUUGUGAAAUUAAUCAUGGAUGUGUUUGUUAGAGAUAUCUGAUUGGUUUACAAAGUUAAAAUGCUGUUUAAUAUUAUAUCAAAUACUCUUAACUCCUUAAAUUUCAUAAGGUAAAAUGCUUAAAUAUUGUUGGUAUUUUCAUAUAUUGGUAAAUUAAAAAAUUUAAAAUUACUUUAUAUUAUCACAAGAACAAGGUUACUAUAAAUUAAAAGUCCCAACAGGUACAAUUCUACAUAAGGAGUCAAGAGGUUUCAACUGCAUUUCAAUUAAAGUACUGUAAAUAACAAAAUAUUUUAUCUUAUUAAAAUUGAUUAAUUUAUCUAAAUUCAGAAAUUUAUAAGAGUUGUUUUAAAGUACAAACUGAAAGAAGGUUCAAUGGAUUAAAAAUUAUUAAAAGGUUCUAAAUAUAAAAAUAUAUUUAGUAAAAAAAUGUUUCCAGGUUAAAAAGUCUUUAUGUGGUAAAUUAUAAUUAUAAUACAUCUAAGUAAAUAAUCAAAGGGUUCUAAUUAAGUAAUAUAAAGGUCUAUAAAUAAAAGAUAAAUAUUAAAAGGUUUAUAUGUAACUAAGUUGGUUAUGUAUGUAACCCAAAUAGUUAAAACUAUUCAAGGUUGGUUCCCUAAGGACAAAUAUUAAUGUACUGAUAUAUUUAU
rnacentral:lncRNA from 1 species